UACGUAGGGUGCGAGCGUUGUCCGGAAUUAUUGGGCGUAAAGAGCUCGUAGGCGGCUUGUCGCGUCAACUGUGAAAACCCGUGGCUCAACCAUGUGGUCUGCAGUCGAUACGGGCAGGCUAGAAUUCGGUAGGGGAGACUGGAAUUCCUGGUGUAGCGGUGAAAUGCGCAGAUAUCAGGAGGAACACCGGUGGCGAAGGCGGGUCUCUGGGCCGAUAUUGACGCUGAGGAGCGAAAGCGUGGGGAGCGAACAGG
rnacentral:rRNA from 1 species